AAUGAACGCUGGCGGCAGGCCUAACACAUGCAAGUCGAACGCCCCGCAAGGGGAGUGGCGCACGGGUGAGUAACGCGUGGGAAUAUGCCCUUCGGUUCGGAAUAACACAGGGAAACUUGUGCUAAUACCGGAUACGAUCUACGGAUGAAAGAUUCAUCGCCGAAGGAGUAGCCCGCGUAGGAUUAGCUAGUUGGUGAGGUAAUGGCUCACCAAGGCGACGAUCCUUAGCUGGUCUGAGAGGAUGAUCAGCCACACUGGGACUGAGACACGGCCUAGACUCCUACGGGAGGCAGCAGUGGGGAAUAUUGGACAAUGGGCGAAAGCCUGCUCCAGCCAUGCCGCGUGGGUGAUGAAGGCCUUAGGGUUGUAAAGCUCUUUCGCCAGGGAAGAUAAUGACGGUACCUGGAAAAGAAGCCUCGGCUAACUCCGUGCCAGCAGCCGCCGUAA
rnacentral:rRNA from 1 species